rnacentral:rRNA from 1 species
UACGUAGGGGGCAAGCGUUAUCCGGAUUCACUGGGUGUAAAGGGAGCGUAGACGGCGACGCAAGUCUGGAGUGAAAGCCCGGGGCCCAACCCCGGGACUGCUCUGGAAACUGUAUAGCUUGAGUACUGGAGAGGCAGGCGGAAUUCCUAGUGUAGCGGUGAAAUGCGUAGAUAUUAGGAGGAACACCAGUGGCGAAGGCGGCCUGCUGGACGAUGACUGACGUUGAGGCUCGAAAGCGUGGGGAGCAAACAGG